UACGUAGGGGGCGAGCGUUGUCCGGAUUUAUUGGGCGUAAAGAGCGUGUAGGCGGUUCGGUAAGUCUGUCGUGAAAUCCUGAGGCUCAACCUCGGACGUGCGAUGGAUACUGCCGGGCUAGAGGAUGGUAGAGGCGAGUGGAAUUCCCGGUGUAGCGGUGAAAUGCGCAGAUAUCGGGAGGAACACCAGUAGCGAAGGCGGCUCGCUGGGCCAUUCCUGACGCUGAGGCGCGAAGGCCAGGGGAGCAAACGGG
rnacentral:rRNA from 1 species